UUACGACCGUAUCAGGUUGAAACACCCGUUCCCGUACGAUCACUGAAGUUAAGCAACGUCGAGUCUGGUCAGUACUAGAUUGG